GCGGCGCCUGCCGUCGUCCAAACAAUAGGAGCCGGCGGCGUUUCCUCAGGGCCCCGGGAUGGAGGACGACGACGACGACGACGACGAGGAGGAGGAGGAGGCCGCCUUUCUCCCGUCGUGUUUGUAACUGCGUCAGGGCAAGAUGGCGCCGGGGCCUCCCGGGGCGCGCCGCCUCAGCGCAUGUGACCGGCCUGCAUUCCUCUGGGGGUGUUCCACAUACCUGCCUGUGGUCUUCUAGACUCUUCUUCCUACUGAUUCUCCAUCAACACCCUAUUCUCUGCCAGUAACCAGACCACUUUGUCAUCUCCCCAGCAUGCUUUAAAUGUGCCUCCGCAAUUCCUCCCACUGAAGCAAGUAUUCUCUCAUCCCCUUAAAAUUUCUCCCACUGUGUUAAGUGCUGUAUGUCAUCUUCUCUCUGUCUUUCCACCCACUUUAUUUUUCCAUUAAUUUACCCACUGUGUUUACGUCACUAUUGUAGAAAUGCCGAUACUCCGUUUAGCUAUAAGGCAUAUUUUCCCUAUGCAUUUUGGCCAGGAAGUGUUAGGAGAAUUAGAGAACAUUCUUCUGACAGUGCAACCCACACGAUGUAGGAAAUGAAUGGAGCAGCCCCCAUUUCCUCCAUUUGCAAGCUGCCCUUAAGGCAGGGGUCAGAAAAGACCUAUCCCCCAGGUCUCAACCUGUGUUGGGCUUGAAGUUUUCACUGUUUUCUUAAAUGCUUAGUACUGUGCUCUGCAUUAAAUAAUCACUCAAUAAAUGUCAUUGGUUUUUUUUUCCUUCUAUCAAUUUCUCAAGUUCUAAGGCUCACCCACCUGGUUAGUUCUGUCGAACUUUCCAUAUCCCAUGUGUUGUCUUCAACUCCUACCUUAUGGAUCUCUUUUUAUAGCACUUUUAAUCUACUCUGCUACCUUUCUUCACAAGUUUAAAGUUCUGCACCAACUUGCCCUAAACAGGAUGGCAUGAAUGGCAUCUGCCUAACUCAGAUUAUACAGCUGCAUAUUUUAUCUGUUACGUUGUCUUCUUCCAUUUAAGAACAGAAGAUCAAGGUGAUUAGCAGGAUAUCUAUACCACUAAGUAUUCCUAGCUUCAGAUUAUAACUACUGCAGCUGGGCUUCUCUGGACAACAGUCCUAAUAGAUGUUUAAAAAUAUUUAAAGUAAAACUACUGAAAGGCAAGACUACUAAUGGAAAAUUCACAAACCAGCUACUCAUAGCAAAAUAUGACCUGCAUAAGGUUGCUAUCCCUGUUUUGUUCUUAAAAUGAUAUUUAAGCAGUUGAAAUUGGCUGAAAAGUGCAGUCUGAUAGGCAAGUGAAUGGAGGAAAGUUUUCUGCCACCUGCAGAUUACACCUUGGCGUUUGGCUUUCAACUAAAAUUCUUAGGAAGAGAGCAAUUUCAGUGGAAUUUUGUGCAGUGUUGACAUUGGAUGGAAUCAAUAACUGCAACUUAAAAAUUGUUUAAGCACAGUUUUAGGGCCCCUGUCAAGUUACAUAAAUAUGCUCUUGUGGCUUUUCAAAUUGAUAGGUGUUUUCUCCCCUCCUUCAUCCUCCCCCCCGCCCCAAAAAAGAGAAAAGGUAAAGUGCAGGAUUCUGUAAAACUGAGCCUCAUCUGUGGGACUUUGGGGGUGUAGUUUUGAAAAAAAUCCUGACCUCGUUGUGAAUAUCCUUCCUUUUACCAAUCAACCACAUUAUUUCAGAUAAAUCCUUCUCUCCUUGAAUUUCAUUUAGUCUCUGUCCCUUUUUGUGUGUGGUGUCACUUUCUCUUGACUCAUCUCUUCCAUUUGCAUCACUUGUACCGCCAUUCCCUGCAGAAAGCUGCUGUGACCACAAUGGACAGAUAACCAACAUUGGGUAAAGAAUCACUACAGAUCCGGAGGGGCUGUUCUCAAGCCUAAAUGUUUACGUGGUUAAAGGGACCACACAGCACAGUGUGUAUUGGGCAGAUGAAGGCACUUCUUCUGAAUCCUUGACUUGAGAUUCAGUUACAUGAGUGCUCUUAUGAAUAAAUGGAAACAUCUUGUCUACAAAAAGCCACGGAUGAUGUGGCUUCGAAGUGCAGUGAGGGCAUAGGUGCUGCCAAACCUGCAGUGGAAAAACUUGGAGGUUUCAAGGUGAGUACUGCUGAAUGAACAAGGUAUUGGCGUCUUUUUGGAAGAGCUGUAUUUGCCUACGCAGUCUUCAACACGCAAUGUGUCCCCAGGUGCAACGUGAGAUUCCAGAUAUCCUUGCUUGUUCUUUUAUCCUAAAAUGUGCAUCCUUACUGCAUAUCCAGCAUGCCAUACAAUAAAACCUUUUGCAAGAACGCUGAAAA